GCGGACUUGAUGAGAAGCUUGCUUCUCUGAUGGUUAGCGGCGGACGGGUGAGUAACACGUAGGCAACCUGCCCUCAAGUUUGGGACAACUACCGGAAACGGUAGCUAAUACCGAAUAGUUGUUUCCUUCACCUGAAGGAAACUGGAAAGACGGAGCAAUCUGUCACUUGGGGAUGGGCCUGCGGCGCAUUAGCUAGUUGGUGAGGUAACGGCUCACCAAGGCGACGAUGCGUAGCCGACCUGAGAGGGUGAUCGGCCACACUGGGACUGAGACACGGCCCAGACUCCUACGGGAGGCAGCAGUAGGGAAUCUUCCGCAAUGGGCGAAAGCCUGACGGAGCAAUGCCGCGUGAGUGAUGAAGGUUUUCGGAUCGUAAAGCUCUGUUGCCAGGGAAGAACGCUUGGGAGAGUAACUGCUCUCAAGGUGACGGUACCUGAGAAGAAAGCCCCGGCUAACUACGUGCCAGCAGCCGCGGUAAUACGUAGGGGGCAAGCGUUGUCCGGAAUUAUUGGGCGUAAAGCGCGCGCAGGCGGUCAUUUAAGUCUGGUGUUUAAUCCCGGGGCUCACCCCGGAUCGCACUGGAAACUGGGUGACUUGAGUGC
rnacentral:rRNA from 1 species